rnacentral:tRNA from 1 species
GCAGUGGUAGUUCAGUGAUAGAAUUCUCACCUUCCUGCAGGAGACAUGGGUUCAAUUCCCGGCCAAUGCA